AUACACUUCAUGCUCUCCAAAGGAGGAAGCCUACAUCUCAUCUGCAGGUGCGAAGAUGCAGUGAAUGUCUCAGCCAAGUAGAUAAUGAGCCUCUGUUUACACCUGUUGUUUGGACUGAGCCAAGGACCUUAGAUAAUAUUAUUUGGGGACAGGACCACCUCCAGCUAUUCCUGCUCCAGUGUUUCCUUGUUGUUUGCAGGAAGAAGACCCAAGAGCUAUCCAAUUGCUGCCCCCUGCACAGGCUCUUUCUGAAUGUCUUUAGAGAGGAAGCUGAUCCUGGGAAGGAGAAGAGAGCCCCUGGCUGCUCCAGGGGGAGAAAAGGGACCCUGGAUAUGAUGAUGUUAAACUCAGUGCCCCUGGAACUUCCAGAGUGACUUUCUUGUGAUUUGUAUUAAAUACAAGAUGAUGCCUCAGAUAUUCUAAUUGUCUGUAUUCAAUAGAGUAGUGCUGACUUGUGAUUGUGUUAUAUGGAAAUUGCUCAAAGUGAAAUAUUCUGAAUAAAGUAGCUUUUUUUGCUUUGUUAAUUAUUACCAAGUUCCAUGUCAAAUGCUUUUAGAGGAUUGGUCUGUAAACACCAUUUUCCUCAAAGGAAAUACAGGAUAAGUGCACUGCCCUGAUUUCUCACCUCCUUCAAAGGCUAGUAAGGGCAUGAAUUUGCCCAGGAUCACAGAUGCUCCAGGUCACUCUUGCUUAGAAAAAGCAUCUAAACUUGGUCCACAUUCACACCCUC
rnacentral:lncRNA from 1 species